UACCUCUCACCUCUCCCGGCCUCGAGCCGAACAGUAUCUCCUGAAAGCCCAACAUUGAGCUGCUGGAUUUCUCAAGAGACUUAUCCGGCCGGCUACAGACCCUUUAGACCCAAUAAUAACGGUUACCACUCGAGCCGCCGGUGUUACCGCGGCGGCUGGCACCGGUCUUGCCCGGCCCUUGCUAUGCAAUGCUUUUUAGGCAUCACGACAGCCAGAUUUGUAACCUGGCACUCGAGGUCCCCUUAUCGCCGCUGCCGGCAUUGUAAAGUUUUCGCGCCUGCUGCACCCCGUAGGGCCUGGAUUCGUGUCUCAGAAUCCAUCUCCGGGCUCUUGCUCUCACAACCCGUACCCGUCGUAGGCUAGUAGGUACGCUACACCCACUACUACCUGAUAGGCCGCAGACCCAUCCUCUGGCGCCGGAGCUUUCGAUCUCGGGGCAUUCCAGCGACCGAGAUCUAUCGGGGAUUAUACCCAGUUUCCCGGGUUUAUACCCGUCCGGAGGGUAGGUUGUCCACGUGUUACUGAGCAGUACGCCAUGUAUUGCUACAUUCGACUCGCAUGGCUUAGUCGAACCUCGAUAGCAGUAACC
rnacentral:rRNA from 1 species